UAUAUUUAUUUGUGCUGUUGUAAUCAAAGGGUAUAGAAACUAAAAAUGUGUUUAUGUGACUAUUUAACCUAAAGGGUCUUUGUGACCAUUUAAGUAAACCUUGGAAAUGUGUGACAAUAGUCAUUCUAAUGACUUUCAAGAUUGAAAGUGAGUCGGAUUAUCAAAUUAUGAAGCAUUGAUACGUAAUGUUUUAUGGUUAUUUUAAGGUUGAAGUUGGUUUAUUCAUUAAACAAGCUUUUAACAAGAGGAGAAGGUUCCCUUUAUAAUUUAAUAAUUAAUACAACCUUUAAUAACAAAAAAGUCAUAUAAUAAGGAUGAUGAUUCUUGCUCACUUGGAUAAGAUAUAUAUAACCUAUGAUGUGGUAAGCAAGGAAUCAAUUAUGUAUUUCUUGUAUCUGAAAAAAUGAAUAAUCCUUUAACGAAGGUUAUCAUCAAUUGCAGGUUUCUAGUUUGGCUGCUUAGUUUUAGGACUACGAAUAUUACAAUAUCAUAAUUAAACGAAAUAAUAUAGGCGGUAGUCUUUGCCUGAUCUACUUUCUUCUUUUUAAUUAACCACUUAGAAGGAAAGAAUUUUGUAUACAGAGCACACUAUAAUCCUCUAAUUACCAAUUCUUUAUCUUAUAAUAUAAGUUCAUAGUGAUUAAUUUGUCCUUCUUCAGCAAAAAACAAAUCCCAUUUCAGCACAUCUACAAGAGCCCUCAUUUCUCUUUGCUCCAGCCAAUUGAUAGCAGAAUCAUCACAGACACCUUGAGCUCCGUCAAUCAUCAUAGACAAUUGGUGACUAGUGGGAGCAUUACAAGGAAGGUACGACGAGUACAAACUGAUAGAUUUGUUUAUAUGAUUCGGCUGUAGUUUUUAUAUAUGGUUAAAUUAUGACAAUAAUCAAGAGAUAAUCAUGUACCUCAUUAGUUUCAUAAAUGUACUUACUAAUUUAUUCCCCUGCUUGCCAGAAUCACGCAUGUAGAAUAAGAUAAAUUUUAAGAUUUAAACUUUUCAAUUCAUUAAAAAUCUAGUGGGAUAUUAAUCGGUAAAACCACUUAGGGGUAGUACAAGAGGUUUGUGGUGCUAACCAAUUUAUGUGAGUGGAGAAAGAAUUAAGCUUUUUUAAUCAAAAUUAAUAAUCAUAUUAAUAAAAGGACAUAAAUUUCAAGAUUUAAAAUUUUAGACUUCAUUAGAAGUAAGAGGGGGAUCGUAAAAACUUUGAAUGUAACUUAUCGGUAGUGGAAUGGAUUUUUUUUUUUUUUUUUUUUGGUUGAAGCUAUUUACACACCUUUGAACACAUGUUAGGGUGAGGGUAUUUCAGUAUUUUACCCACUUCUCAAUAAAAUAUUUUGAGGUGAUGCUACCACUAAACAACUCAUUAAACCCAUUUACUUAAUAAACACACUUCUAAAAUUUAAAAUGCACAAUUUUAUUUUACAAACCCAUUAAUACCUAAAAUACCCUUAUUAAGUUAAAUUAUCACAAUUUCUCUUAUCAUUUUCUUUUCCCAUCAUUUCUCCGUUUCUUCACUCUUUUCUUCUUCAUUUUUGGAGCUUUACCCAUAGCUUUUUUAUUCCAAAUUCUCAAACUUUUUAUUUUAUUUUUUAAUAGCUAUUUUUCCCCUUGAUAUUUCAUGCGUUUGGAACAACACCCUUAAAAAAUUUUAAUAAACAAACAAUAAAUUUAAAUAAACAGCUGAUAUUAAAAUUGCAUAUAAAUUUAGAAUAAAUAAAAAAUUUCAACUAAUUGCAGCAGUUCUUGCAUGGGUUUUUUUUUUUUUCAUUUUAUUAUAUAGAAGAAAGCGUACUAACUGAGGAGAGAUCAAGAGAAUGCAUUGUCCAAUUCAAAGAAUUCAGAAAAGAUGAAAUUAGAUGGUGGAAGUCAAGAGGAAUUUUACUAACAAUAAGCUUUUAUCCAAAUGCAUUAAAAUUCAUUGAAACUUCUUUCCGUUAACAAAAGUGUAAAUGGCAUAGAAAAAGUGAAUACAGUACAUUAAAUAAUGAAAAAUUUGGGAGAAAGGCAGUAAUUUUUUUAUUUAAUUUAAUUACAUAGUCUUGUAUAAUAACUUUCUAUGUAGACAUUUUAGUAACAAAAUUUUUUAUUAAAUAUUGGAUUCAAUGAGUAUUUUGUUGGGUUUGAACAAUCCCACCCAAAAUUUAAUAACAAAAUUUUUUGAAGUUGUUAUGAUAAAGAAAGGAGAAAAAAGAGCAAGCCGCUGCAAUUGCAACAGUGGAGGAUUUGUAACAAAACUAUUACAGAGAUAAGAUUUAAUUGAUAAAAGAAAGAUUUAAUAGAAAGUAGUUAGAGAAACAACUAAUAAAAAUUAAUCAUAUUUAUUAUGGGUAUAUUAGGAAUAUUUGUGGCCUCACCUCUCAUCUUAUAAUAAAUUUUUAUGUUCCUACAGUAACCCUAAUAUAGUUUAAUAUUAAGGACAACGUAAUGAAAUAAUUGUUAUUCUUAUAUCCAUUAAAGAUAUAUUGUUAUCUUAUAGAUGCGAGAAUGCUCCAAUGCUCAAGUAAAAUUUUUAGUGAAACACAUAAGAAUUCUACGUGUAGAGAGAACUUCGUCAAGGUAUUUAAGAUGUAAUUAAUGCUCUUUGCUAGUGUACCACAUUUAAUAUUUGAAUCAUGACACGUGGCAUUGCAAAUAGUGGCUUUAUUUCAGGUCUUCGUAGGUGCUCCGGACAUAUGUUCGCUCCGGAGCUAGUAUUAGGUCAUCAUGUGCUUCUUUUAGUGAUCCACGUGAUUCCUUUUGAAUAACCAUGUCAAAUGCUCGUUUAUCAAGGACACGUGUCUUGUCAUCAGAACAUAUUAAAAACAUAACAUGCUAACCCAUGUGCAUUUAUGAAAAAUCAAAUGAGAAUAAUAAAUUAAAAAAGAAAAGGAUAAAAGUACAACAGCUAAUUAGUAAUAUUUGAGUUUCGGAUGAUGAAUAUUUAAUUUUAUGGGUGUAAAGAUAGGAAAGAAAAGUAGGUUUAAUGAGGACUAUUUUAGUAUUAAAAGAGUAUUCAAAAUAAAUUUUAUUUUAAAAAUUUUAUUCAAUAAGGUAUGGAGAUCAUUCCAAAUAUAUUUUAGGUACAAACUCGUCCGUUUGACGUAAUACUGUGUCUUAUAAUAAGACUAGCAAUAGUCAAAUUAGCUUAUUAUGAUAAGAUCUGUUAAAUUUAAUAUUUUAAAAAAAUUAUCGUCUCAUCAUAAAACACACUGCUCUACUAUUCGGUAGAGCAUGAGUGGUUGGCACAGACCAUGGAUUGCACAAAUAUUUCUAAAAUUUGAAUCCUCAAACCCUCCUGACAAUGCCACCAGUAGGGAUGGGCCAGAUUUUUCUAAGCUCGGCCCUAAGUCCAUGUUAUCCAUGCAUUUUUAAUUAUUAUUUUAAAUAUUACUGAAUUUGUAAUGAGUUAAUAAUCAAUAAGUUAUUAUAAUCAACAAUAAAUUAAAAAUGACUAUUUAAAAUAAAAUAAUAAAUAAAAAAUAAAGCAAAUAAAAGUUUACAUAUAUAUUUAAUUUCUUAGUAUUAAAUUCUCUAAUUUAAACAUUCUCUUAGUUAAUUAAGAUAUAAGAGAGAGUUUAGUGUCACAAUUUUAAAUUUUUUCAAUUACUAUUGAUUGAAUUAGGGAUUUAAGCUUUCUUUUUUUAAUUAUUUUUUUAUAUUUUGUAUUAAAAAAAUAGAGGACUUAACAUGUCCCGGACUUUUUUUCUUAAAGAAACCCUCAUGUAAAGGACUGGGGCUAAGCCCGCUGGGCCUGGGCCGGACCCUUUGAGGCCCAAGGCUAGCCACCAGUCUCUUUUGUCAAUCAUUGUUAAUGAACUAGCCUAGUUGAAUACUUUUAAAUUGAUGGGUCGUAAUUGCCAAUUUCCAAAUACAACAAAUUUUUAUAGGUGUAUUGGUAGACUGAACGACAGCUAACAACACGUGACAUAAUUAACUUACUUCCAAAGGAAUUUUUUUUAUUUAAAGAUACAGUGGAUGAACAUAGAAAUCUUGUGUCAAGUUUUAAAAUUUGUCAAUAAUGUGUAUACACAUAUGAAAUCUUCCAUUUUUCAUAUGUGUAUACACAUUAUCAUGAUUGAUUGAAACAUAUACAUGAUAAAGAUUAAUGAAUUAAAAAAAAACAGUGCUUUAGGAGAUAACACUCAAGAAUUUUUCCUACUUCAUCCAGUGGGAAUAUCUACCUCCACCUAAUUGUAUUCAAUAGGAGGAGGAAUUGUUGUGUCCCCUCUUGGGACUCAAACCAUUGUGUCUAUUACCACCCGUUUGUGUUUAAAAUUUGGUUGAAUUUAUAGAAUACUAUAAAUGGUAAAAGAUGCAACCAAAUAAUAUUUCGUGACUCUGUCUUUUCAGUUUUAGGAACAAUGGUGGAAUCAUUUUUGCCGCUUGAAAAACUUACGGAAAAAUUAGGAUCCCGUGCUUUCCAAGAACUUUUAGCACUCUACUGUGUCAAAAAUGACGCAGAAAAGCUAAAGGAGACCUUAACCACUGUCAAAAGUGUGGUUUUAGAUGCUGAGGAAAAGCAAGUCCAUAGCCACCAGUUAAGAGAUUGGCUGGAAAAGCUUAAGGAUGCUUGUGAUGAUGCAGAAGGUGUCUUGGAUGAAUUCGAGGUGGAAGAUCUGCGAAGGCAAGUCAUGAAGCAAAGAAGCAUCGGAAGAAAGUUACGUAACUUUUUUGGAAGCUCAAAUCCAGUAGCUUUUCGUUUUAGAAUGUGUCAACAAAUCAAGAAAGUCAGAGAGAGGUUUGAUGAGAUUGCAAACAUGAUGCAUAAGUUUGAUCUCACUGCACGACUUGAUGAUCGUAGUUGGCGAAUUGUGCAUGAAGAGAGGGAAUCUACUCACUCGUUUGUGAGUCCAUCAGAUAUUAUUGGAAGAGAUAAAGAUAGAGAAAAAGUUAUUGAAGCUCUAAUGCAAGCAAGUUCUGGCGAAAGUGAAACUGUGUCUGUUAUUCCUAUUGUGGGAAUUGGAGGUCUGGGCAAAACUGCUCUUGCACAGUUGGUGUUCAAUGACCAAAGGGUAGAAGAGCAUUUUGAGUUGAAAAUCUGGAUAUGUGUUUCUGAAGAUUUUGGUGAGAGACAAAUUAUGACAAAGAUUAUCAAGUCGAUAACUGGUCAAAACCACGGUGACUUGGAUAUAGAGCAAUUGCAACGAAUCUUGCGAGUUUGUUUGACUGGUAAGAGAUAUUUACUUGUUAUGGAUGAUGUAUGGAACGAAGAUCCCAAAGUAUGGGAUAAAUUGAAAAGCUUAUUGUCGGGGGGUGCAAAGGGAAGCAAAAUUCUGGUAACCACACGUAGCAAUAAGGUUGCUUCAAUCAUGGGCACGAGGGGAGGCACUACUGGCUACAACUUACAAGGUCUACCAUUCGAGGAUUGCUUGUCUUUGUUUAUGAAAUGUGCAUUUAAAGAAGAGCGAGAUAAACAUCCAAACCUUGUAAAAAUCGGGGAAGAAAUUGUGAAAAAAUGUGGAGGAAUUCCGCUGGCAGUCAGAACACUAGGAAGUCUAUUAUAUUGCUCAACGGAUGAACACGAUUGGGAAUAUGUGAGGGAUAAUGAGAUAUGGAAGUUAGAACAAAAGGCAAAUGACAUUUUACCUGUUCUGAGGUUCAGUUAUGAUCAACUACCGCCUCGCCUGAAACAAUGUGUUGCUUAUUGUUGUAUCUUUCCAAAGGAUUAUCAAUUUUCAAGUGUUUAUUUGGUUCAAUUUUGGAUGGCUCAAGGACUUCUCCAUCCACUUAAUGAAAAUGAUGAACUAGAUGACAUUGGCAUGCGGUCCUUGAAGCAACUAUGUUCAAGAUCUUUCUUCCACGAUUUGGUACGAGGAUUUGAGAUGUUCACUUUCAAAAUGCACGACCUCAUCCAUGAUCUUGCACAGCUAGUGGCCAAAGGUGAAUUCCUAAUAGUGAACUCUGACUGUCAAUCUAUUCCCAAAAGAGUCCGCCAUUUGUCAUUUGUGGGUGCUAAUGCAUCAAGAAAAGAUUUUUCAAGGUUUUUAUCUGAUUUAGGUCGUGUGAGAACCAUUUUCUUUUCAAUUAAUGAUGAGAAGGUAAGCCAAUCAUUUGUUAGAUCAUGCAUCUCAAAGUCACAGUUCUUGAGAGUGCUAAAUUUAAGUGGCUCUGCUAUUGAGGCUUUGCCAAGAGAGAUAGGUAAUUUGAAGCAUAUGAGAUAUCUUGACCUAUCAAGAAAUUAUAAAAUCAAGAAACUUCCAAAUGCCAUUUGCAAGCUGCAAAGUUUACAAACACUGAAUCUUGAAGAAUGUCUGGAGCUAGAAGAGUUGCCUAAAGACAUAAGGUACCUUGUUAGUCUCAGAGUGUUUGAGGUAACCACAAAGCAGAAGUCUUUGCAGGACAGUGGAAUAGGGUGCUUGGUUUCUCUUCGUUGUUUGAUAAUAUCUCAUUGCAGGAAUUUGGAAUAUUUGUUCGACGAUAUAGAUCAACUAAGGGUCCUUCGAUCAUUAUUAAUUGCUGGUUGUCCCCGUCUAAUCUCAUUGCCGCCUGCUAUGAAAUACCUCAGCUCAUUGGAGACUCUAAUGUUUGUUCAGUGUGAAAGCCUUAGUCUUAAUUUGAGCAUGCAAUUGGAAGGGGAAGGAAGUCAUCAAGCUCGCAAUACCACAAGGCCUCACCUUCGGAAGCUUUUGAUUGGGGAAGUAACACCGUUAUUGGAAUUGCCACAAUGGCUUCUUCAAGGUUCUACUGGAACUUUACAACACCUAUUUAUUGCAAAUUGUCCCAACUUCAUGGCACUACCAGAGUCACUGAGAAAUUUCGAAGCACUUGAGGGUCUUGUCAUCGGGAAUUGUCCAAAAUUGUCAUCGUUGCCUGAGGAUAUGCUUCACCUGAAAACAUUGAGGAUUAGAGGCUGUCCUGCACUGAGUGAUAGAUGCAAACCGCUAACAGGUGAAGAUUGGCACAAGAUUACCCAUGUCGCUCACAUUAAGCUUGAUGACGAGAUAAUUAAAUCAAGUGAUAUUUAGGUAUGGAUUAAUCUCUCCUUUUUUUCCCUCUUUUCAUUCAAGUUUUUACUUUUGAAUUUCUCAUCUACCUAUACCGUUUAUAGUUUAAUGUUUUGUUAUGUUUACCAAAUAGAAACUUGUUGAAUGUUUAGUUAGUUAGUUCAAAUUUGUACUAAUUUCUUUUCUUCUAAUAAAUGAUUAGUUUGUUAAUACAAACUCAAUUACUCAAGCAUAUUAUUUGGAAACCAAACCGUUCUUGGGGUUAUCUGUUUCUAAAUCCAAACGGUUCAGGAAUUUUAAGAACGGAAGUUAUAAAGGGAUUUUCUUAAUUAGCCAGUUAUAUGGAACCUUAUUCGCAUAAAAGAAGAGCUUCUGAAAUUUCAAUUUUUGUUAAUAUUUUAACUCGCGCUGAAGCAUCUAACAAUUUAUCCUCUAUUUUCUCUUCUUUUCUUUUCUUUUUCCCCAAAUAUUGCAGCUUUCUUCGGAGAGGUUCAGCGAAGCUAUAGAGACAAUGAAAUUAUUACUGUAAUGUUGUUUCGGAACAGAGGUUCAACCGUUUUAAUGUUGUGUUUAAAAUUGCAAGUAUUGUAUAUUCAUUACUUAUGAUAAGUACAUCGAGUGAUGUAUAUAUGCGUGCCUGUAUGACCAUGAUUGAUAACCUUAAAUAUAUAUGUGCAUGUGUUGUCAUGACUGAUAACCUUAAAUAUAAUACCAAUAAUGUUUGUAGAAUUUCUGAAAUUCUCAUGAUGCACAAUUUAUGUAAUUUACAGUAUGUUCUUUCUCCUCCUUCGGUAGUCAGUAAUAUAAUUUGCAUUGAUUGCGUUGCUUAGCUCUACAUAAUUUGCAUAUUUUUUUUUCAAAGAAUAUUGAUGUGUUGUGUAAUGGAAUGGUGGUGCCUGUAUUUUGUGCUUUGUGAUUGAUGACUUACAUUUUCCCCAAAAAAAAGGAAACGGAUAGGCUUCCUUUUGAAUGGUGACCUUUUAUGAUAUGAAUCGCAUGUUUCUUGAGGUUUUUUUAAAUUUUUUAUAAGACACUUGAAGAAGGAAAUUCAUGUUCUCUUUCUCAAUAUAAAAUGACUAAUUUGAAGAAUACUUAUUAUAAUAGAACGUAGAACUCGUAUGUAUUUUAGUAUAAAAAUUCUGUACAAUAAAAAGUUUUUUAUGUGAAGUCGAUCGACACUAUCACAUUAUCAUAUUACCAUUCAAUUCUUCAUUUUUAUCUAAUUAAAAUGAUAAAUUAAAGUUGAUACGAGAAUAUUAAAGAAGAUUGGACCUUGGAGGGCAAUGUGAAUUUUGAACCGGCGCCAUUUCAGCUCCACCUACUCUAUAAAUAAAUGAUUAUGAGUGAUAGAACAAGAUCAGCUGAUACAGAGAGAGACUCUCGACUCUUAAUAGUGAGCAAAAAAAUGGUGCGCAACUUCUUUUUGAUUAAAAUUUAAUGAUUUCUUCGUAUUAGGGUGCGUUUGGGAUUGAGGUGCUAUAGCUUUUAAGCUACAGCUGCUGUGAAAAAAAAAUUGUAAUUAUAAACAAAAGUUAAUAAUAUAUAAUAAAUAUAAAUUUUGAUAAAAUUAUUAAAGAUAUAAUAAAUUUUAUAUUAUACAAGUGAAAAAUCAUAUCAAUGUAGCUUAAAAACUACAACAGUUAGUGUUUACCAAACACUUUAAUACCGUAACUUUUAAGCUACAGCUGCCCAACCUCAAUCCCAAAAGCACCCUUAAUCAAAUUAAUCAUUAUUAUAUAUUUAUUUAUUUAUUUAUUUUUCAACUUCAGAAGAAUCUGUUUUGUUGUUCUCCUCCUCAAGUGCCUACUUUUCAGUGUGCAAGGAUGUAUGUUGAGGGCAGCGGAUGAAAUCGCUAAACUGUUGGGGGUAGAGGAGGCGGGAGAGGAGAUGGUUCCCAUUUCCGCCCUUGCUUUCCUCCGCUUGGCUGCAAAAGUUCAUCACAAAUCAACUCCGUUACAUUGUUACUGGUCUUUUGCUUAUUUAUUUUCAAUGUCUUAUUAUGUUUUUAAUUAUGAGUUCAUGAUUUGAGUUGAGUUUUGUUGUUCUCCGCCAGCAUUGUUUUAUUUUCAAUGUCUUAAAUUAAUUAUGAGUUCAAGGGCUGUCAAAUUGGACCAAGUCUCGUGGCAAGAAUUAAUUUUUCACCGUUUCUUUGAGAUUCUACCACCGUAAUUUAAUUUUCACUUGAUCGAUUUCAACAAAAUCUCUCAAAAUUGUUGUCCUGAGCUUGCGGCAGCUUUCAUCACCGGCGAAGGCUGAAGAUUCAAGCAAUAGAGCUGCUCAUGAUGAGGGGAAGGAGAAGAGGACCUAACGAGUUUGCAAGAGCGUGUAUAGAGGAAUAAAGCGGAUGCCAUGGGGGAAAUGGGAAGCUGAAAUUUGAGGCCCUUACAGGGGCGUCCGCUUUUGCCUCGGCACUUUCAACACCACCGAAGAAGCCGCAAGAGAUUAUGCUGAAGCCGCCAAGAGUAUUCGCGGCAACAAGGCCAAGCUCAGCUUUGUUCUGCCGCCGCCGCCAAUAACUCCACCUCCAGCUAAGAAACACUGCAUGUUAUCUCCUGAGUUGACUCUGCCGUGUUUUGAAGAUUACUUUUUUAUUGGUUUAUGCAUUUGAGUUUACAAAGAAAUGGUAUUCUUUGUCCCCAUAUUGUGAACACUUGGGCUUUUAUUGUUGAAAAUUACCUUUUUUGCGCUGCUCUUAUCUAUGAGGUUGUGCUUUCCUUUGGAUGCUCUUUAAUAAACAGCUUUCCUAAUGACAACUGAAGUGAAAAGUCAUUUAUCAAAUGAUUUGGUGAAAUAUCAGGUACUUUCAUCUUGGUUUUUGCAGUUAAUAGGAAUAGGUUGGUGUUGGGAUGUGCUACAUGUAUCAAGUUCUUAUCGCUAGUGGAUGUGCCAUCAUUUACUCUCACUGAAUGUAUUAUUAGUUUAUUUAUUGAACACUCCCAAAUCAGUAAAGAAUCCUCAAUUUUCUCUGUUUCCUUUAGAUCCUAGUAGUGUUUUCGCAUGCAUCAACUAGUGUUUAUGCAUGUGUCGGCAAGUGUUUAGACAAUAAAUUUAAAGGUUACGGUGACAUAAGUUGACAGCAAAGGAAGGAUGUAUGCUGCAUUUGAAGGAAGGUGAAAGUUUUCCAUUUUUGUAAAUGAGUUUAAAGCAGGAUAUGUUUAGUUUCAUGAAAUGCUUUCUUAUUUUUCGAUGACGAAGUAAUGUGAGUCAAUAUUCUCUUUAAAUAAUGUUCCCCAGUUCUUGAACGUUCUGCCAAUCUUUAUUUGUUAUUUGAAUUUAAAGAAACUUUCUAAGUGCAUACAUCCAUAUAAAGUUGAAGAUCUUCUAGAAAAGCUGGCAUCCAUCAAGAUCAAGAAAUUUUACUGCUUAGUACGUGUUAUAUUUAUAGAUUGGCUAUUGAAGAAGUAGUAUUUGUACCGAUGCAGAUGCAGGAACUAUACACAUCUAAAGUUUAUGAGAUAUUUUUGUCUUUUUGACUCAGUUAGAUAACUAUCAGUCAGUUAACCAAUUUAUGUUACUCUUGUUUGGCUAGCCAAUUAACAAUUUAUAUUUGCUGGAUUGUAAAGCCGACAUCUGCAAGCCAUAUGUGAUUUUAUUUGAAGGCAAUUUGCUCUAGACUAUAUGCGGAUUUCUAUCAUGAUUUCUAUAAGCUUGAAGGAGAUUUCCUUUUUUGUUUCUUUAAAUGCCUGUGAGCUUGAAAAUUAUACCCGUACAUGUUGAAACCAUUAGAUACCUGCUAAGAAUCAAGCAUAAUCGUGUCCAGUUGAAACCAUAAGUUGGGUCCUGUUUUAUGAGAAAAUUAUGUGUAAUUUGGGUGCAGUAAACCUAGGUUGAAUACCGGGACACAGUAUAAAAGCGAAACCACAUAUUGAAUCUUGCAUAAAGACCUUAAAGAUGUAAUUUUGAAUUGUACAUGAGAUGUUGUCUGGACCAAAUUUCAGCGGCUUUGGUUAGGAUUCAGAAAAGAGAAUUGUAACCGCAGAGAAUGCUCUGUGGGAUGGUUAUAUCCAGGUAUGUAAUGGCCUUAUUUUGAUUCUGGGCUGUUUGAGUUUUGUGCUGCUGUUGAUACUGGUUUUAGCUAUUUUCUGCUACUGUCUUAUUUGCUUUUUUGUUUUUUAAUACUACUUUUGCUGCUGAAUUUUGCUGGUUUCUGCUGUUUCACUCGCUGAUAGCUGCUGUUUAUUACUAUUGUUUGAUACCUUUUGAUUUGCUCCUUUUUUGCUGCUGAUUUUUGCUGUUUCCUUCCGCUGUUUUUGCUGCUUUUGCUGCUUUUGUUGCUGUAUUUUACUGCUUUUACUGUUGAUUUUUGCUGUUUUGUACUCACUGGUUGCUGUAUGUUUAUUAAUAUUGUUUGCUGCUGUUUUAUUUGCUGUUUUUUUGCUUCUAAUUUUUGCUGUUCUCUGCCAUUAUUUGCUGCUGCUGUUGUUUUACUCGCCAGUUGAUGCUGUUUUGUGGUUCGCCUCCUCAAGUGCCUGCAUUUUUCAACGUGCAAGCUUAUAUAUUGAGACUGGCGGAUGAAAUCUCUAAACUGUUAUAACAUCCGAGGCUCCCCUAGAGAAGGAUUUGGUCUUAAUUUGGGGAAGGGGGUUUUUCUGGUUUGUACACAAGUGUAUGCAUUCCUUCAAUCACGUAGCUUUGUGCCCAUGAUUAAGCAUAAAUAAUCAUAUAGACCCGUUUUGUGAUGAUAAUGACAAUUUUAUGAUUCAGACACGUUGUUAGGAACACUGUAUUGGUUUUUCUUUCGCUGUUUGUACCCAUGAUUAAGCAUGUAAUGGCUUUUAAUAAAAAAUAAUAAUAAGAAAUAGUGCUAUAUCAAGAUUAUAAUUUAAACAAAAAAAAAAGAACUUUAUAAUAAGGAUGAGGAUUCAUUUCCAGUUAGAUGAGAUAUAAGAUAUAACAUAGGAAAAAGCCACCUACAUUCUCAAGAUAUAUUUAAAUGGUUAUAUAGAUCCUUUUAGUUUCAUAAAUAAUCAUAUAGACCCGUUUUGUUUAAUAUUAAAAUAAUUAUAUCUUUUAAUUACAACAACCCAAUAAUUGAUUUUGAAUAAAUUUUUUAUAAUAAAUAUAAAGUGGAACUGAAAUAAUAUUACAUAUAAAAUAAGUUAAAAUUUAUAAAUUAUUUUGAAUAAUAAUAUUAAAAUGAUUUUACCCAACCCUCACAUUAAUUUAUAAAAUUUAUAUUAUUUUUCUUACUAUUUUUUUUAAUUACAUCUACAUCGUAUAAAUCUUAAAGUAAAUCUUUAGUUUAAUAGAAUUUAGUAUUAAUAAAAAACCAUUGGGAUAGACUAAUAAUAGCUUAAUAUUAAAAAUAAUUUUCAUUAUAUAUGUUAUUUUAUUAAAUAUAGUUGUUGUAAUAUUUUAUUUGUAUCAUAUGCUAUUUAUUUAUUAUUUUUAUCUUAUUACUAUAUUUAUAUUUAUUUGUAUUGUUAUAAUCAAAGAAUAUUAUCGUCGAAAAGGGAUUUAUGUGAUUAUUUAUGAAACCAAAAGGGUCUACGUAAUCAUUUAAGUAAACCUUAAAAGCGUGAGUGGCUUUUUGCCAUAUAGCAUAUGAUCCGAUAGCCAAGGAAUCAAUUAUGUAUUUCUUGUUUAUGAAAAAAUGAAUAAUCCUUUAACGAGGGUUAUCAUCAAUUGCAAGUUUCUAGUUUGGUUGCUUGGUUCGAGGACUAUGAAUAUUACAUUAUCAUAAUUAGGGGAAAGAAUAUAUGCUUUAGUCUUUAGCUGGUCUACUUUUUUCUUUUUGAUUAACCUCUUGCGGGGAAAGAAUAUUGUAUACACAGCACACUAUAAUACUCUAAUUACCAAUUCUUUUUGUUAUAUUAAAGUUCAUAGUGAUUAAUUUGUCCUUCUUCAACGCAAAACAAUCCCAUUUCAGCACAUCUACAUUCUACAAGGGCCCUCAUUUCUUUUUGCUCCAGCCAAUUGAUAGCAGAAUCAUCGCAGACACCUUGAGCUCCGUCGAAUCAUCAUAGACAAUUGGUGAUUGGUGGGAGCAUUACAAGAAAGGUACGACUCCUUCAAACUGAUAGAUUUGUUUAUAUGAUUCAGCGAUAGUUUUAUAUAUGGUUAAGUUAUAGCAAUAAUGAAGAGAUAAUCAUGUACAUCAUCAGUUAGACGAAUGCACAUACUAAUUUAUUCCUUUACUUGCCAGAAUCAUACAUGUAAAAUGAGAUAACUUUUAAGGUUUAAAACUUUGCAAUUCAUUUAAAAUCUAGUGGGCUAUUAAUUGGUAAAAUCACUCAGUGGUAGUACAAGAGG
rnacentral:lncRNA from 1 species